GAUGAACGCUGGCGGCGUGCCUAAUACAUGCAAGUCGAGCGAACGGACGAGAAGCUUGCUUCUCUGAUGUUAGCGGCGGACGGGUGAGUAACACGUGGAUAACCUACCUAUAAGACUGUGAUAACUUCGGGAAACCGGAGCUAAUACCGGAUAAUAUUUUGAACCGCAUGUUUCAAAAGUGAAAGACGGUCUUGCUGUCACUUAUAGAUGGAUCCGCGCUGCAUUAGCUAGUUGGUAAGGUAACGGCUUACCAAGGCAACGAUGCAUAGCCGACCUGAGAGGGUGAUCGGCCACACUGGAACUGAGACACGGUCCAGACUCCUACGGGAGGCAGCAGUAGGGAAUCUUCCGCAAUGGGCGAAAGCCUGACGGAGCAACGCCGCGUGAGUGAUGAAGGUCUUCGGAUCGUAAAACUCUGUUAUUAGGGAAGAACAUAUGUGUAAGUAACUGUGCACAUCUUGACGGUACCUAAUCAGAAAGCCACGGCUAACUACGUG
rnacentral:rRNA from 1 species